UACGGAGGGUGCGAGCGUUGUCCGGAAUCAUUGGGCGUAAAGGGCGCGUAGGUGGCGGGUACAAGCGUGCGGUGAAAGCCUGGGGCCUCAACCCCGGGUCGGCCGUGCGAACUGUUUUGCUUGAGCACUGUAGAGGCAGGCGGAAUUCCGGGUGUAGCGGUGGAAUGCGUAGAGAUCAGUCGGAACACCGGUGGCGAAGGCGGCUUCUUGGGCCGUUCCUGACGCUGAGGCGCGAAAGCUGGGGGAGCGAACGGGG
rnacentral:rRNA from 1 species